CUGACCUCUGUAAACUAUCUUUCUUUUUCAUGCACCUACUGACUUAGUUGAAUUCUCACAAUGACAAUAAAGGAAGUAAUCAUCUAAUAACAGCUACCAUCCAUGACACGUCUGCCAAUGCCAGCUCUUCAACCUGAAUGAUUUCAAUAGAUAGUACUGCUCCUAUGGGCUUGGUUUCCAGAUUUCCAAGAAUACAGCCAGCUACUCUGGUAACCAAUUUGUGCCAACAUGUUGAUUAAUGGAUACAAAUGUGCAAAUCACACCAACCUUUCUUCUCUCCUGGGUGAUCUGUAUGUUUUAGCUGUGAGAUGCCUUCUGGAGCUGUAAGGCUUGAUGCAAUGGAAAUAGCCAUUGUGGAACCCAACCGAGAACUCUUUGGUAGCACCCGCAUAUCACACUAAAUAGGCAACCACUUGUUGCAACUAACACUUAGUCAGCUUCUUUUGCCAGAUGGUGAAAGCCGUAGAUAAAAGAACCCAGAAAUCCAACCCAAACUAGUUACUGAAAGGGCCCGGAUAAAACUUGGCUCCACAGAUGCUCAUGAGCUGGGAAAUGGCAGGCAAACAUGCAGUGAGUUAUGGAAGUCAUGCAACAGCCCUGGCCUUCUCUGAGAUUCAUUUUUUUGCAGAAAGGAUAUAGUAACAGCUAAAUUGGGUCAGAUCUGCUGCAGUGGCUGGAAUAAAAUAACAAAGACAAAAGCUUGCUGUGCAAAGAAUUAUAGGACACAUGAAACCCCAUGAGACUAUCUAUGCUAUUAUUCACCAAGGCGAGCCUUAGAUGUACCCGGAGAGACGUCUGCCUUCACCACAAUUCUGGGUUUCAAGAUAAUGAUGUUGGAUGUUCCAGCCUCAGAACUGUGGUGAAAACUCCUAACAUCAUACCAGUGUCUUUGCAUAUCCCUGGCUAUUGGGUUGGUGAUAAAAUAAAGGGAGCACUCUAUACCUGCUCCAAACGGCUUUUGGCUGAGAUUCUAACAUUAUAAUAGCAUUGGAAAUUAACAAUGUGCUAGAAAUGUUUUGUCUAUAUUAUGUAAACUUUAUAAUAACGAUGAAGACA
rnacentral:lncRNA from 1 species